GACGUAGGGUGCGAGCGUUGUCCGGAAUUACUGGGCGUAAAGAGCUCGUAGGUGGUUUGUCGCGUUGUUCGUGAAAUCUCACGGCUUAACUGUGAGCGUGCGGGCGAUACGGGCAGACUAGAGUACUGCAGGGGAGACUGGAAUUCCUGGUGUAGCGGUGGAAUGCGCAGAUAUCAGGAGGAACACCGAUGGCGAAGGCAGAUCUCUGGGCCGUUACUGACGCUGAGGAGCGAAAGCGUGGGGAGCAAACAGG
rnacentral:rRNA from 1 species